rnacentral:misc_RNA from 1 species
CGCACAUCAACUCACCAUGCUUUCUGUCUCCGCCUCUCCCCUUCCCAAAAUUUCCAUCAAAUCUCCGUCCGCUGCGCCUCAAAGGACCAGAUUCCGGCCACGGUUUAUUUCUAACAGCGCCACCGCUUACAAGGAAAGGUCCAAUCUUUACCUGAGUCCUCAACAGAUGGCAUCGUGCACGUCGCUGUACGAGAUUCUGGGGAUUCCGGUUGCUGCCACGAGCCAGGAUAUCAAAUCAGCUUACCGACGAUUGGCGAGGACUUGCCAUCCUGAUGUCGCCGCUUUGGAACGGAAAGACACCUCGGCCAAUGACUUCAUGAAGAUUCAUGCCGCGUACUCCACUCUAUCGGAUCCUGAGAAACGCGCCGUUUAUGAUCGCAAGUUUAUUAGAAGGAACCGGCCGUUGACCGUCAGUUUUUCGGGCUAUCGUGGCCGGAAUUGGGAGACGGACCAGUGCUGGUAGCCGAGUUGGCUCAACUGACUACAUCACUGAGUUUAUCUAAUCAGAGAUUAUCGCAAGAAAUCGGCAAUAUGUAGAUAUGAAAUAUGAACUCUGUACAUAUGAAUGAUUACUACUGCUAACAUGUUUGAGCUUCCACCUAUGGAAGUUUUCCACCAAAAAAUUAGAGCCGUCGAAUGUGCUGUUUUA